rnacentral:rRNA from 1 species
AUUGAACGCUGGCGGCAGGCCUAACACAUGCAAGUCGAGCGAGUGGCGGACGGGUGCGUAAUGUCUGGGAAACUGCCCGACGGAGGGGGAUAACUACUGGAAACGGUAGCUAAUACCGCAUACCAUCAGAUGUGCCCAGAUGGGAUUAGCUAGUAGGUGGGGUAAGGGCUCACCUAGGCGACGAUCCCUAGCUGGUCUGAUAGGAUGACCAGCCACACUGGAACUGAGACACGGUCCAGAAUCCUACGGGAGGCAGCAGUGGGGAAUAUUGCACAAUGGGCGCAAGCCUGAUGCAGCCAUGCCGCGUGUAUGAAGAAGGCCUUCGGGUUGUAAAGCACUUUCAGCGAGGAGGCGUUACUCGCAGAAGAAGCACCGGCUAACUCCGUGCCAGCAGCCGCGGUAAUUC